CGCACAGCUGUUGAAGGAAGUCUGAGACACUCUGGAGAAAGAUCUGGGCUUUCAGUACCCUUCUCAGGCCCCCAGCCCUCCUACAGCAUUCCUCAGCGAGAUCUGUCAGCUUGCCAUUCACAGGUUUUGCCUUGUCCCAGAUUCUAGGCCAAUGCUAAGUGGCAGCAGCAAGCCCUUACACACGUUCCUAUUGAGGACAUUCCUUAUUGUAUUUCCUUGUGACAUCACAGUGUUACUGGGGGGUCCUUCUUGUUAGAGCUCCCAGGAUGGUGGCGGGCUGCUUCCAAGAUGGCGGCAAGCCUCAUAUUCUCUGACCUGGGGUUUUUGGCCUCAUGGAUUCCAAGCAAUAGAACCUUGGGCCAUGUGGCAUCCCUAUUAUAACAAAACCCAAUGCCUAGACAGUGCCUGGCAUAUAAGAGAGAUACAAUAAAAAAGUUGUGGGCUCAGUUAACAAGCCAUUGCAUCACCCACCAUCAAUGCCUUCCUGAUGACCAAGAACCAAACCAAGAACCAUGUUGACCACGUCUUGCUACCAGGAAAAUCACACUAUUUGUCCAACAAAUCCUAAGAUCUAAUAAUAAAGAUGAAAAGUUACAUUAAAAAGUAUUACUAAAAUGAAGAUAUCAAUCUGCAUGUACUUAAAUACAUGAAAAGAGGCAAUACACAUGCUUGCUAACAACUACAUGGCCAAAGAAAACACUCAAAUAAACCUGCGAGUUUGUUCUUGCUUGGGAAGCAGGAGAAGUUAAUGCCAUGAGGCCGUUCUAAAGUGGACCAGUUCCUUCCUUAUGCUUGAGAAAAUUCAUUUUAAAAAGAAAGGCUGCGGUGGCCUUGUGGAAUACACUUGCGGGCUUUCAGUGUGAGAUGCCUUCUGGGAGCCAUGAUCAAGCCUGGACUUUGAAUAAGGCAGCUGGAGAGUGGAGGAUUCAUGGAAGAUACACUUUGGAGGAGGAGAUCUGGAAACUUACUUAGUGUGUAUGAUGGGAUGUAAUAUCAAUCAAUUACAUAUCAAUAACUAGGGUAAAUUUUCAACAUUGUUGAUAAUAGAAACUGAUGAGUUACCUAGACAAAUAAUAAUUUUAAAAAAGUAAA